GGCCGGCGGGACCGCGGGCAGUGCGGGAAUUUCGGACCGGGAGGAGGGAGCGGCGCCGGGCUCGGCGCGCGGGAGAUACUUGGGACCGGCGGCUGCUUCUGCGGUGGAAAAUGCCAUAUAAUAAGAAGACUGCUGGAAAAAGAGUCCCUGCAAAAAGGAAACUUGCUGAAGUGUUUGCUCUGGGGGAGGUUCUAGCAGAUACAUCAAGAAAAGAAUGGAAAUUAGGUGUCCCUAUAGGGCAGGGAGGCUUUGGACGCCUAUACCUUGCUGAUGUUAAUUCUUCAAAGUCGGUUGGCAGUGAUGCCCCUUAUGUUGCAAAAGUGGAACCCAGCCAGAAUGGACCUCUUUUUACUGAGUUAAAGUUCUACAUGCGAGCUGCUAAGCCAGAUGAAAUUCAGAAGUGGACUAAGUCCCAUAAACUGAAAUAUUUAGGUGUACCAAGAUAUUGGGGUUCUGGCUUGCAUGAAAAAAAUGGAAACAGUUAUCGAUUUAUGAUAAUGGACCGAUUUGGCAGAGAUCUUCAGAAGAUGUAUGAAGAGAAUGCAAAGCAAUUUUCCCGUAAAACUGUACUACAAUUAGGCCUGAGAAUACUUGAUAUUCUGGAAUACGUCCAUGAGCAUGAAUAUGUGCAUGGAGACAUCAAGGCCGCAAACCUCCUUCUGAGUUACAAGAACCCUAAUCAGGUGUACUUGGUGGAUUAUGGACUUGCCUACCGAUACUGCCCUGAAGGAGUUCACAAAGUAUAUAAGGAAGAUCCAAAAAGGUGUCAUGAUGGAACUAUUGAAUAUACCAGUAUUGAUGCACAUAAGGGUGUGGCACCAUCAAGACGUGGUGAUCUGGAGAUCUUGGGUUACUGCAUGAUUCAUUGGCUUAGUGGCCAUCUACCGUGGGAAGAUAAUUUGAAAGAUCCAAAUUUUGUCAGAGACUCAAAAAUCAGAUGUAGAGAUAAUAUUUCUGUUUUAAUGGACAAAUGUUUUCCUGAGAAAAAUAAACCAGAUGAAAUAGCCAAAUAUAUGGAAAAGGUGAAGCUACUGAGCUAUGAAGAGAAACCUGUUUAUCAGCAUUUCCGAGAAAUACUUCUGCAAGGUCUCAAAGCCAUUGGGCAAAAAGAUGAUGGAGUACUUGACUUCGGCUUGUCAGAGAAUGGAGACUUUCAAACAAAUCCUGUACAAAAGAAAAGAAGAAAGGCAGCAGCUGCAGCCAGUGAGAGCACUGAGGCAGAUAUGGAAGAUACAGGAAGUCCAAAAAAAAAGAAAGCUACUUCUUCUAUUCACUGUUAGAAAAUGCUGACUCUUCAGGAUUCCUCAUCACAGCGUGUUAAAGCCAAGGGCUAGCAGCAGCGGCUUCCAAAAGCAAGCGUGUUUGAAGUCGAGGAAAGGAUCAGCUAUGCAGUAGCUACCAGAACCCGGAAGAUGACCUCACCAAAAUCCAAGAAAAGCACGGCAACCAGAAAGAGAGUCCAGAAGUAAAUAAUAGAUGGAGCGACAAAUUAAGUUGCUCUGUGGCUCAUUUCUGGUUGGUUUUUUUUUUGUAGCACUGGAAUCUUUUUCUUUCCUUUUUAAAUGAUGAAUCCUGUAAAAACAUGGACUGCUGUUUGUACCUGUUUUUGAAGAAUAAAUGUUUUAUUAAAAUAUUUGCAUAAUUUAUGUAUAGUUAAAUACUAAUGCAAAAUUUUGCCAACUUUUGAAGUGGGGAUUCAUUUUUAUUCUUUAUAUAAUGAAUUCUUGUCUUAAAGGCAAACUAAAAGAAAGUGCUUUUUUCUGCUUUAUAAUGUAGAGAUAAAGCCUUAUUUAAUAGUUUCAUUACGGGUACUAUAUGGGGAACAGCAGUGUUGCAUCUGAUUUCUCCUACUUUUGAGUAAAGUCUUAUUGGAGGUUACUUAGAUGUACACUGAGAUGAAGUGUGCAACAGCAGAAAUAUCUUUUAAAUGUUUCUCAAGUGUUUGAAUAAAAAACAGAACAUAAAACAGACAUCACAUCCUUCCAUUCUAGUUUGUAUAAAAAGCAUUUAAACAAUUCUUUGGAAGACAGGUAGUGAAUUUUAGCUAUUUUUUUGCAUACUAUUUGUGUUCGUAUCACUUUUCUAAUUAUUCAGAGUUUCUCUGGAAAGAAAUAGACCAGACACAGGGCCCAGGGCAAAGAAAAGAACCAACCAAAAACCAAUGCUUAUUCUCAACAGCCCCCUCAGGUUUUCUUUUUAUAUUAGUGAAAAGGCUAGAAAAGUUGUAACUGUGAAGAACUUUACACAGUGUCUAGUUCCAAUGAAAUAUUGACUCACAUCUGCUUCUCAUAACAACAUAAUGGUUUACCUUUUUUAAUAGUUGAGGAGCAUAUAAUCUUCCAUAUCUUUUGUGAAAGUACUUCCUUGCUUAGCUUUGAGUCUUCAGAGUUGUAAGUCAAAAAAUAGUGUUGAAUUUCAGUGUGAAAUACCGCUACUUUUCAUUUAGAUACUGCAAAAUGCACAUAAUUAAGGCAUGAGCAUCAUUCUUAUCAGGGAGACUACUUUAUGAAAGUUUGGUAAACCAAAAGGAAUCCAUAUGAGCCAAUGAACAUUGUAUUUGUGUGGAUGUCCAGCUUGCUUGAUUGUAUAAUGUCUGGGUAGCUACUCACUAGAAUAAGUAUGUUUUAGCAUGAAAUGUUGAAUGAAUAUGUUUUGUAACAAGGGAAUCAAUUUUUUUGAAAUAAAACUGGAAUACC